CCCUUAGAUGUUCUGGGCCGCACGCGCGCUACACUGACGAAUGCAACGAGCUUAUAACCUUGGCCGAAAGGUCUGGGUAAUCUCCAAAUUUCGUCGUGAUGGGGAUAGAUUAUUGCAAUUAUUAAUCUUCAACGAGGAAUGCCUAGUAAGCGCAAGUCAUCAGCUUGCGUUGAUUACGUCCCUGCCCUUUGUACACACCGCCCGUCGCACCUACCGAUUGAAUGGUCCGGUGAAGCCUCCGGAUUGGCGCGCACCUCGGUGCCGCCGAGAAGUUGGCUAAACCUUACCAUUUAGAGGAAGGUGAANUCGUANCA
rnacentral:rRNA from 1 species